rnacentral:rRNA from 1 species
CCUACGGGUGGCAGCAGUGAGGAAUAUUGGUCAAUGGGCGCAAGCCUGAACCAGCCAAGUCGCGUGAGGGAUGACGGUCCUAUGGAUUGUAAACCUCUUUUGUCGGGGAGCAAGGCCCGCCACGUGUGGCGGGAAGGAGAGAACCCGUAGAAAAAGCAGCGGCUAACCCGGUGCCAGCAGCCGCGGUAAUAAGGAGGACGCGCGCGUUAGCGGGAUUUAUUGGGUUGAAAGGGUGGGUAGGCGGAAGGUUAAGUCAGCGGUCAAAUGUCGGUGCUCAACACCGGCCUGCCGUUGAAACUGGUCUUCUUGAGUGAGCGAGACGUAUGCGGAAUUCGUGGUGUAGCGGUGAAAUGCAUAGAUCUCACGCAGAACUCCGAUUGCGAAGGCAGCAUACCGGCGCUCAACUGACGCUGAGGCACGAAAGCGUGGGGAUCGAACAGGAUUAGAUACCCCUGUAGUC